rnacentral:rRNA from 1 species
AUGGCAACGGCGGCGGCUGCGGUUGACAGGUCCGCCAUGGGCCUGGACCUGGAGUUCCGUCUCCUCCAUGGGGCCGGCUUCCAGAUCCGCGCCCCCAUGGGUUGGACCUGGUGCUCCAUCUCCAUGGUGUCGUCUGCUUCCGCUCGGCCGUCUGCGUCCUUCUAUUGCUCGUCGAGCGCGAGCGCCGACGCAGCGGGGCGGGGCUUGCUCGGCCCGUUCAGGCUACUCGUGCUGGUCGACGACGGCCUGUUGGAGCAGACCGCUGUCUACUUCUACCUGGUCAAGGGUGCGGACGGGAAGCUCAGCACUCACUUCUGCCAAGACGCCUUUAGGUCAUUGAAGGCGAACAUUCUCGUCAAGGCCGUUUAUGGCAGAUUCGUCCCUGUACUUGAUGGAGAAAAUCUGCACGCCCCGAUGCUCCCCUUGGUCUGGGCACCCGAUGCCAGGCAGGCUAUGGAUGCCCCAGACCUCAAUGCCGGCCGUGCUACUCUAGCUGCUCCUGCCCCGGCCAUGCUCAACUUCGCUCCUGGUCAGUUGCCGCAGGCUGCUGCUGCUGUGACGGAAGAUCAGAAGAGGCCUGGAGAUGCGCACCACCGUUUUAGUUGA